rnacentral:rRNA from 1 species
AACGAACGCUGGCGGCAUGCCUAACACAUGCAAGUCGAACGAGACCUUCGGGUCUAGUGGCGCACGGGUGCGGAACACGUGGGAAUCUGCCCUCAGGUACGGAAUAACUCAGGGAAACUUGAGCUAAUACCGUAUGAUGACUUCGGUCCAAAGAUUUAUCGCCUGAGGAUGAGCCCGCGUCGGAUUAGCUAGUUGGUGAGGUAAAGGCUCACCAAGGCUACGAUCCGUAGCUGGUCUGAGAGGAUGAUCA